rnacentral:lncRNA from 1 species
AUGGCAUGUCGUGUCUACCUCUCUGCCAAGGGCUGAAACCAUCCCUCGCUUUCAACUUCAGUUUUUAAUCACACCUGAAGUGAACAUUCAGUCAUUUCACCUGUUCAGACUCAUUUCAGACGGGGUUUCCAUUUUGUUUUUCUGUCCCAGCUCUGUUAGCGGCAGCGUGUGUGUGAGCGAAGGAGUGUGUGGACUAUGCUCACUUCAGUCGAUUGAAGGAGGGGGAGUGGAGGACUUGAUACUGUGGAGAGAGAGAACUCCACGACGGGGAACUGAUUGUACAGGACAAAUCUAAAGAUGCAAAGAGCUGCCACAGCAUCCGUGACCCAGUCCACAACCACACAGAACACCACAGUCGUCACCAAGUCUAGAGAACAAAUCCUCACGCAGAGUAAGUUUCAAAUCUGUACUUUAUACAA